rnacentral:sRNA from 1 species
AUAAGGCAAUCGCCGAAUUCCGUUUUAUGGAAGCGGGGGACCCAUUUUUGGGGUGAAUCCUGUCAAAGCAGGUAGGGCAAAUUUCUUUCUGCCCGAAUCCGUCAGCUAACCUCGUAGGCGUUGGAAGAGAAGGAUG